UACGGGGGGAGCAAGCGUUGUUCGGAUUUACUGGGCGUAAAGGGCGCGUAGGCGGCGCAACAAGUCACUUGUGAAAUCUCCGGGCUUAACCCGAAGCGGCCAAGUGAUACUGUCGUGCUAGAGUGCGGAAGGGGCUACUGGAAUUCUCGGUGUAGCGGUGAAAUGCGUAGAUAUCGAGAGGAACACCUGCGGCGAAGGCGGGUAGCUGGGCCGACACUGACGCUGAGGCGCGAAAGCCAGGGGAGCGAACGGG
rnacentral:rRNA from 1 species